UACGUAGGGUGCAAGCGUUAAUCGGAAUUACUGGGCGUAAAGCGCACGCAGGUGGCUGAGUCAGUCGAUUGUGAAAGCCCUGGGCUUAACCUGGGAAUUGCAGUCGAUACUACUCGGCUCGAGUAUGGGAGAGGGCAGUGGAAUUCCCGGUGUAGCGGUGAAAUGCGUAGAUAUCGGGAGGAACAUCAGUGGCGAAGGCGGCUGCCUGGCCCAAUACUGACACUCAGGUGCGACAGCGUGGGGAGCGAACAGG
rnacentral:rRNA from 1 species